AACGAACGCUGGCGGCAUGCCUAACACAUGCAAGUCGAACGAACUCUUCGGAGUUAGUGGCGCACGGGUGCGUAACGCGUGGGAAUCUGCCCUUGGGUUCGGAAUAACAGUGAGAAAUUACUGCUAAUACCGGAUGAUGACGAAAGUCCAAAGAUUUAUCGCCCAAGGAUGAGCCCGCGUAGGAUUAGCUAGUUGGUAAG
rnacentral:rRNA from 1 species